rfam:Pseudomonadales bacterium GWC1_66_9 gwc1_scaffold_10550, whole genome shotgun sequence.
GACAUCGAAGGAUCGAUGAAGGCUGCUAGGGCUUGAAGACAAGGGAACCGCCGCAAGGAUCGCGGCAUCAUCAGGAUGAUGACUCCCAGGGAUGAGGUGAGACGACAAAAACGGCGAGGCUAACCCCUCGCCGUUUUUGU